GACGAACGCUGGCGGCGUGCUUAACACAUGCAAGUCGAACGCAGUGGCGAACGGGUGAGUAAUACGUGGGUAACCUGCCCUCCUUUUUGGGAUAGGCCUUCGAAACGGGGUCUAAUCCAGUACAAAGGGGGUUGGGCUCGCGGCCUGACAGCUUGUUGGUGGGGUGAUGGCCUAACAAGGCGGUGACGGGUGGCCGGCCUGAGAGGGUGCACGGCGACAGUGAGACGGAGAAGCGGCCUAGGGUACGACGGGGGAGAGCAGUUGGGGAUAUUGCACAAUGGGUGAAAGCCUGAUGCAGCGGCACCGCGUGAGGGAUGAGGGCUUUCGGGUUGUAAUCCUCUUUCGGUAUCGAACGGGUAGGUAGAGAGAAAGCGCCGGCUAACUACGUGCCAGCAGCCGCGGUAAUAC
rnacentral:rRNA from 1 species